rnacentral:ncRNA from 1 species
CAACGAAAAAGGCAAACCAACUGAAAAGUUGGGACGCAAAGCUAAGGGCCUGUAAAAUGGCAGCCGGCUACCGAA